rnacentral:tRNA from 1 species
CGAAAUGAACUCAGAGAGAGCACUGCAUUGACAUUGCAGGGGUCACAAGUUCAAUCCUUGUCACGCCCACCA